UGGAAACAAAUCGAGUACUGACCCUAUAUUUAUUGAGCUUCUGUUUGUUUCAGACAUGUUUUGGAAUUUUGUCGAACACUACCUGUGAAGAUACCGAUGAAACCUACUGUCAUUCAUCAAUAGGCUCUGACAUAAAAUCUUGCUUCGACGCUGCGUUUCAGUAUGCUUGCCCUAAAUCUUGUGGUGUUUGUGAUGCUAAAUGUACAGACAAUAACGGUGCUUGCUAUAGAGAUGGUGUAGAGGAAUGCUUUCUACCCCAUAUUGCAAAUGAUUGUCCAAAAAACAUGUGCCGGAUGUGACGAAUGUGAGGACCUGAUUUCUAUUGAAUUUUGUGAACUGUAUCAAAAUCAAUGCAACACUGAUGCUUCCAUUCGAUAUUCUUGUCGAAAAACCUGCGGCUUAUGCAAGAGUGAUUGUAAUAAUGCAUAUUAUGACGAUGCAGUUUGUGAAGAAUACAAAGCUAGAAACACCUGUGACGAUGUAUUGCGUUCAUCAAAAAUGAAAGAAAUAUGCAAGAAAACCUGUAGUGGUUGUGAAUAAAUACAAAACAAAAUUAUUCUAUUGAAAAUAAAAAAUAA
rnacentral:lncRNA from 1 species